UACGUAGGGUGCGAGCGUUGUCCGGAAUUACUGGGCGUAAAGCGUGCGCAGGCGGCUUGCCAAGUCAGAUGUGAAAGCCCCGGGCUCAACCCGGGAACUGCGUUUGAAACUGGCAGGCUAGAGUUUGGCAGAGGGGGGUGGAAUUCCACGUGUAGCAGUGAAAUGCGUAGAGAUGUGGAGGAACACCGAUGGCGAAGGCAGCCCCCUGGGCCAAAACUGACGCUCAGGCACGAAAGCGUGGGGAGCAAACAGG
rnacentral:rRNA from 1 species